GUCUCUUUCUUCCAACAAAGUGGGUCUCCAGAGAGGUGAGAUGACUUGCCUGAGGGUGAUCAGUGAGCUCAAAGAAGAGCACAGGUGAGGACCCUCCCACGCCUGGCGCAGCACUUACAGUUUACAGAGCACCUCCCUUCCUGGAGCAGAUGCUUCCACCGCGGGCAGCCAGCACCCGUGUCUCUCAGAGGCUGGCGCCGGGCCUGCGUUUACAGGGAGCUGGAAGUGCAUGACCUCCUGAGGGGAACUCACGUCCUCCAGUCACUGGAAUCCUCGUCUCAGGCUCACCUCCUGGGGAUCCUAACCUAAGACACCUGCCAUAGUCUCCUUCAUGCUUCCCUGUCACUGUCCCCACUGCACAGAUGAGAAAACAGAAUGGGGAAGUGACAGGCUGGAAGUUACAGAGCUGCCAAGCAGCCCAGGCAGGGAGUGGGACCAGGACUUCUAACCCCUCGUCCACGUUCCUUCGAAGGAAGGACGGAAGCUCCAGCCCUGGCUGGGGAUGGAGUUUGUCCCUUCCUCUUUUCUCGCCUCCUGAGUGCUGUGAAUCUUCCACAAACACCUACCCACAUGGGCAUCUCCCCGUACAGCGUGUCUGGGUCCCUGGGCUCUGCCUCAGCUUGUCCCUGAAGUGAUUAUGCUGUCUGAUACUAAAAUCAGUCCACUAUUUCAUGUCGGUCACAUCUUCAGUGCUGCGUUUGACAAUAAUUGCAGCAGGCAGAUCAUAAUACAUUUAACACACCUUGAAUUAGGACCUCUUGCAUACAUUUGCAUGCAAUUUGCAUCUAUUUGAUUGGACUGGAAAAAAAAUCUACAGAUGUGGCUCCUGAGGCAGGCAAGCUGGAGGGAGUGGGAGAGCACCACACUUGGCCCGCCCCAGGUCUGCGCCUGCUCGGGUGCUGAGCAGACUCUCACCUCUGCACCGCCUACAGGGCUCACCUGGGCAGGAGCUGGGCUUUUAUAUGAGCUCGCCUCACCCCAGGACUCACCAUGCCUAGGAGAGGAGUGACGCCCCCUCUGUGUCCGAACCUCCACUGCUGUACAUGCUACCCCAGACCAUGCUCCAUGAAGGCCAAUGGCACCUCUGUUUGCUCACUGCCGGAUUCUGAGACUGUUAGAGGAAUGAAUGAAUGAACAAAUAAACAAACGAAUGCACACGGUCUGGU
rnacentral:lncRNA from 1 species